rnacentral:rRNA from 1 species
AGCGGUAACAGGGGAAGCUUGCUUCUCGCUGACGAGCGGCGGACGGGUGAGUAAUGUAUGGGGAUCUGCCCGAUAGAGGGGGAUAACUACUGGAAACGGUAGCUAAUACCGCAUAAUCUCUAAGGAGCAAAGCAGGGGAACUUCGGUCCUUGCGCUAUCGGAUGAACCCAUAUGGGAUUAGCUAGUUGGUGAGGUAAUGGCUCACCAAGGCGACGAUCCCUAGCUGGUCUGAGAGGAUGAUCAGCCACACUGGGACUGAGACACGGCCCAGACUCCUACGGGAGGCAGCAGUGGGGAAUAUUGCACAAUGGGCGCAAGCCUGAUGCAGCCAUGCCGCGUGUAUGAAGAAGGCCUUAGGGUUGUAAAGUACUUUCAGUUGGGAGGAAGGCGUUGAUGCUAAUAUCAUCAACGAUUGACGUUACCAACAGAAGAAGCACCGGCUAACUCCGUGCCAG